AGAACUUAACUUUGGCUUUUAUCGUCUGCAGAUAAUUGUCACAGACAAACUAGCAGAAAUGAAAGAACUGGAAACAACAUCUGCAGCCAGGAGCACCAACAAACGAAAGCUCUGAGUGAACCUUGCUCAAGGAUGACUUGAGGGAUUGAUAAUGGGACACAGACAUUCCACUCUAGGUUACCUGUCCCAAUAUAGCUCGUCUGGUCCGCCAGGCCACCUGUCUUGCUUGCGGAAGCCCGUGAUACUCACCAGCUCUCAAUCAUCUGCUCAAUUUCAAUAGUGGAGAAGAGGGAAGAGACUUGGAGCUGUGU